rnacentral:tRNA from 1 species
GUUUCCAUGGUCUAGUGGUAUGACGUUCGCUUCACACGCGAAAGGUCCCGGGUUCGAGCCCCGGUGGGAAUA